rnacentral:rRNA from 1 species
CGCUUACAGUAAUAAUUAUAAGUACAACCUGCUCAAUGAACAAUUAAAUAGCCGCAGUCACCUGUGCUAAGGUAGCAUAAUCACUUGUUUCUUAAUUAGAGACUAGAAUGAAAGGUCUAACAUUUAACCCCUGUCUCAAUUCAAAAUUUAAUAACCUAUUUCAAAUAUUAAAAAAUAUUUAUAUAAAAAAAAGACGACAAGACCCUAUCAAACUUUCACUAUAGUUAAGCUGGGGCAGCUAUAUAAAAAAUUUUUAUAUGUAAACCAUAUUAUAAACCAUCAGACCUGCUAACAGCAAUAAACAGAUCAAGUUACUGUAGGGAUAACAGCGCAAUAAUUUUCCAAAGCUCACAUUCAAAAAAAAGAUUGCGACCUCGAUGUUGAAUUAAUUUCACUAUUAGAUGCAACCACCUAACAAGUAGGUCUGUUCGACCUUUAAAAAAUUACG